CUCACAUGUAACCAUCUGUUUUUAUCAUCGCUCUGUCCAGGAAAGGUCAUUUUCAGCUGCAGAUCUUGGGAAACCGAGGGGAGGCGGGCUGACUCCCGCUGGGAGCACUUGCACUGUCAGCGCGUCACAGGGCCUGCGGGCCACGGCAGCAUGAGGGACAGCGGUGAAAGGUGGGACAGCACUCAGGAAGCGUGGACGGAGUCCUACCUGCACAGCGCUGGGCCUGGUCCAUCUCCAAGUAUCCCGAGGGAGGUGAGGUUCCCAGCUUCCUCCACCCCGUUGGGAGGGCUUGGGGCCAGAGGCCGGCAGCCGGUGUGAGCACUCUGAGUGCUCAGAGGCUGUGACUGUGAGCCGGGCACCACAGGGCCAGGCGAGG
rnacentral:lncRNA from 1 species